CCGAAAUUCCUUUAGUUUUUCCCCAAAUCAGAUUUCCCCGAUACCCAUAAGUUAUUUUUCCCAAAUCCCUUUAUUUCUUCCCUAAUUUCUUUUCCCCAAUUUCCCUUAACUGAUUGAAAUCCCUAACUAUUUUACCCAAAUCCCCUUCUUUUUGUCAUCUUUCAAAUCCUAACCCUUUUCUCUUCUGUAUAAAUUCUUCACCAACAACAACAAAAAAUUACUCAUCGCCGUUCUCUUCGCCGAAACCAAAAAAAUUUGGGUAAGUUUUCAUUUCAUUCUAUUUUUUUAUAUCUUUUUUUUUAAAUUCAUUCUAUUUUUUAGUUAAGUAACUUUUUGUUUGAGCCCAAUUUUUGGAUGGAAAUUCUUCGCUUAUUUCUCUCCGCCACCACUUCAAAAGUGCAGUUACUAAGCUCUAAAUAUUCUAUUUCUUUCUCAUUUUUGGUGAGACCGAAUUAAACAGGCCAAAGUGUGUAAAGGAUUUUGGUUUCGGGAAACAUUUAAGUUUGGGUUUGGAGAUACAUAGUUAUUAGCAUUAGUUGGCAGAUAACAUUGUCCUAGUGCAGGUUGCAGUUUGUUGCGAAGCUGAAAGUGGUGGGAUGCGCAAAACUUGAGGAUGUACGUUAUUAAAUGUUUUAUACGAGUUAAAUUCUAUCGAGCGUGUCAGAGUAGCUAGAAACAGUCUUGGUUAGCCUAUUGGAUCAGAAGCUCGACUUUUAGCAGGAUACUUGGGCAUUAUAGCACAAAAUGCCAAUUUGUUGUCUAUAAACUACGAGUCAUGGCAUCUUAUGUUUGAUAGUAACAAAAAUCAAGCUCUCGAUAAUAUUAAGGAGAGAUUUGCUUUAGAGGUCUUGGAUAAUUAUGUGAAGAAGGCAUUAGGAAAAAAAGGAAAGACCAUAAAAGUGAUUUAAAGAAGGAAUAUUUUAAGAAAAAUAUCAGCCUCGAAGACAAAUUACGAAAUGUCUCGCCGGCAGUUAUAUUUUGGAAUUCAAAGAAAUGAGAGGUAUUACGUACUUCCAAACUCUUAUAUUAUUUUUGUUUAUAGUAUUUACUAUAUACGUAAUAAUAAUUUCAUAAUGUCGAAUCAUGAGCAAGUUGGAACUACAAGUAGGCAAAAACAAAAAUUCACGCACGUAGCCGGGUUGAAAAGUUUUGCUUGUGUAGCUGAUGAUGAGGAACUGUCGUUUGGUCAAAAAGUUGGACGCCUUCAGCUUUUUGACAUUACAUAUAGAAAGAAAGAUGGAUCUCUUAUGACUACUGAAGCUGCAGAAAUUAUGAGAAACUAAAGGAUAAAAGGGCGGAGUAUGAAGUGAUCGUUUCAAGUGAUAGUUCUGUUAAUCUUGACAACAUUGAUAACUGAAUUAUUACUGAAGUUUUAGGUCCUGAAAGGCUCAAGUUAAAGUUCAGAGAUUAAGAGACUAGAUGGCUCAUAUGCAAACGUGCAAAGUUGAGCAAAUUUCUCAACUUAAAGUGGAGGCAUCGUCAAGAGAAGCAGAGGCUCAAAGAAAAUAUGAAGAACUCCAGCUACAACUUAAAGUAGAAGUAGCAGUGAGGGAAACAGAAAAUAUGACGAAUUCUGGCUAUAGCUUCAGAAUAUGAUAAAGAUGUUUCAACAGUCAUAGAAUCCACCAUCUUAGACGUUUGUUUUCUUAUUGUGAGAAUAUUAUAUAACUUUUAAAUAUAAUAUAUUUUGUUAUUUCA